rnacentral:rRNA from 1 species
AUUGAACGCUAGCGGGAUGCUUUACACAUGCAAGUCGAACGGCAGCGCGGACUUCGGUCUGGCGGCGAGUGGCGAACGGGUGAGUAAUGUAUCGGAACGUGCCCAGUAGCGGGGGAUAACUACGCGAAAGCGUAGCUAAUACCGCAUACGCCCUACGGGGGAAAGCAGGGGAUCGUAAGACCUUGCACUAUUGGAGCGGCCGAUAUCGGAUUAGCUAGUUGGUGAGGUAACGGCUCACCAAGGCGACGAUCCGUAGCUGGUUUGAGAGGACGACCAGCCACACUGGGACUGAGACACGGCCCAGACUCCUACGGGAGGCAGCAGUGGGGAAUUUUGGACAAUGGGGGCAACCCUGAUCCAGCCAUCCCGCGUGUGCGAUGAAGGCCUUCGGGUUGUAAAGCACUUUUGGCAGGAAAGAAACGCCGCGGGCUAAUACCCCGUGGAACUGACGGUACCUGCAGAAUAAGCACCGGCUAACUACGUG